GUUCUUUGCAGGAACAUGGAUGGAGCUGGAUGCCAUCACCCUUAGCAAACUAACCUAGGAACAGAAAUCCAAAUACCACAUGUUCUCACUUAUAAGUGGGAGCUAAACUAUGCGAACACAUGGACACAUAAAAGGGAAAAACACACACUGGGGCCUACUUGAGGGUGGUGGGUGGGAGGAGGAAGAUCAGAAAAAAUAACUAUUGGGUACUAGGCUUAGUAUCUGGGUAAUGAAAUAAUUAGUACAACAAGUCCCCAUGACAUGAGUUCACUUAUAUAAUAAACCUGCACAUGUACCUCUGAACCUAAAAUAAAAGUUAAAAAAAAAAAAAUCAGCGUUCCUUGAAAAAAAAAAAAAACUGGCUUUUUUUUUUAAAAGGAAAAAAACAACAUCAAAAUUCCAAAAACGAGUAACCUACAAGCAAUAACACAACAAUGACAAAGCCUGUCAACCAUCAAAAAUGUCAGGAAAAUUACAGUUAAAGCAGUGAUGAGCACAGAUUUUCUUUCCCAAGUAUGAUCACUGGAGAGAACUGGAGAGAACUGACAGACUGGGCUGUUUGAACAAGCUGGUGAUUGGGUCAUUUCUCUUUAGCCCUGUCCGGUUGGAUACUUGUCCAUGAUUCGUAGUCUCCUCUCAAAAUACAAUCAUCUCCAUCUCCUCCUCUCUUCAAUUUAUUCCUGUAUGUUAGCUUCACUUCCUGCUUCACCAAGGAAAAAGAAACUAAGAGAAAGGAGCUCACUCAACUUACGUAGUUCUCCUUUCUCUGCUGCCUCAUCAGGGACUCCUUCCCUCAAUUAUUCCCCAGAUCUCAGUGGACACAGCACCCACAUUUUGAGCCUCAAAUGAAAACAAUCAACUAAGGAUGGAGCAGAGAGCCAAGAAGGAGUCUGUUCCUCAAUCUCGUACCUUUUAAGACUACCCAUCUAGAAGAGAUCGUGAACAGACAUUUCUCAAAAGAGGACAGACAAGCAGCCAAGAAACAUGUGAAAAAAUACUGAACAUCACUGAUCAGCAGAGAAAUACAAAUCAAAACCACAGUAAGAAACCAUCUCAUACCAGUCAGUCUCAUACCAUCAUCAUUAAAACAUCAAAAAAUAAUAAAUUUUGACUAGGUUGCAGAGAAACAGGAAAGCUUCUACACUGUUGGUGGGAAUGUAAAUUGGUUUAGCCACUGUGGACAGCAGUUUGGAUAUUUCUCAAAGAACUAAAAAUAGAACUACCAUUUGACCCAGCAAUUCUCUUACUGGAUGUAUACCCAAAGGAAAAUAAAUUGUUCUAUCAAAAAGACACAUGCGCACGAAUGUUUAUUGCAGCACUAUUCACAAUAGCAAAGAAUGGAAUCAAUCUAUGUGCUCAUCAAUGGCAAAUUGGAUUUAAAAAAAGUGGUACAUAUACAUCAUGGAAUACUAUGCAGUCAUUAAAAAACCCCAAAAUUAUGUCCUUUGCAGCAACAUGGAUGCAGCUGGAGGCCAUUAUCCUAAAUGAAUUAAUGCAGAAACAGAAAACCUAAUACUGCAUUUUCUCACUUAUAAGUAG
rnacentral:lncRNA from 1 species